rnacentral:piRNA from 1 species
GCUCGAAAGGAUCACAAAACUCUUCC